rnacentral:misc_RNA from 1 species
GAAAUGCGAUAAGUAAUGUGAAUUGCAGAAUUCAGUGAAUCAUCGAAUCUUUGAACGCACAUUGCGCCCGCCAGUAUUCUGGCGGGCAUGCCUGUUCGAGCGUCAUUUCAACCAUCAAGCCCCCGGCUUGUGUUGGGGACCUGCGGCUGCCCGCAGGCCCUGAAAAACAGUGGCGGGCUCGCUGUCACACCGAGCGUAGUAGCAUACAUUCUCGCUCAGGGCGUGCAGCGGGUUCCGGCCGUUAAACGACCUUCAUAACCCAAGGUUGACCUCGGAUCAGGUAGGAAGACCCGCUGAACUUAAGC